GGAAAUGGCAACCCACUCCAGUACUCUUGCCUGGAGAAUCCCAUGGAGGGAGGAGCCUGGUAGGCUACAGUCCAUGGGGUCGCAGAGUCCAACAGGACUGAGUGACUUCACUUUCACUUUCAAGUAAAAUUAGGAAGCACAGGAAAACAUGCACUCUUACAUAAAGCAAACUUUUAAGUAUAUGAGCCAAGAAUGAUUAAGAGGCUAAGAGGACGCUGUUUUUAGCAAGGAGUCAUUGAUAAUACUCAGGAGAGCAAUUUUAAUGAAAUAGGCCAGCUGUAUAAAACCACAGGAUUUCAAGGCAAAAAAGUAGGCGCUGCUGAUUGCUAGAUCAGUUGUCAGAUCUGGCUGUUUACUAGAAUUAACUAUACAGCUUUUUAAUGGGGAUGUAAUCGACAUAGAACAUUGGUUUUGGUGUAACUGGAGCUGUUUACGUAUUAGAGGUGUCUCUGAGAAUCUACUAAGUAAGACUGGAGGUAAGCAGUCUCUUCUUAGCAUUCACCAUGAUUCUAAUGCACAGCCAAGUUGAAGGGCCAUCCUUCUAAGUCACUACCUGACAUCUGCAUCAAAAACUAGGAACUGAAUUUUCAACUUCACUUGCAGAUACCUGUGAGUAUCUAGGAGAAAUACUGUCCUUCCUCCAUUCUAAGUCCUCUUGUGCUAUUCUGCCACAUCUCUUUCCAGCUGAGACUGGUCUCUCCAUCAUUUCCGUCUUCAGUCUCUCUCUCCAGUGAGUUCCGUUAGUAAACUAAGUGCUAACAUCUGUUUAUAUAACUACAGUCAAAUCUCUAGUUAAAUUUCAUAGAAUAGCAACUUUUUGUCACCUCUCACCCAUACUCAACUGUUAUUCAGUCAGUAGGGGAUACCUCUUAAUUUUUCUGUAUUUGACCUUUUGGACUACCUAUCUGAAAAAAAAAUUUCCCAGUUGCUGGUUUUUAUUUCUUCAGUUGUGGUUAUUUCUCACCUUCCCACCUAUGAGUCUUUAAUGUUCCCUGAAUAUUCUUGAUACAUAUGUAGGUUUGAAUGUCCCCUUCCUCGACUGUGACAUACUUAUAAGCAUUUGAUAAAAGCUAUGGAUGGUCGUCCCCCAAAAAGGCACAUGAAGUCUUGGCCUACAUUUUUAGAUUCAGACUGCAGCAUUUCUUCCAUGACAUUGUUCAUACAACAUAUUAAUAUGUUUUAUCUCUCGCAAAUCAUAAAUGUUUGUCUCAAAUGUAGUGGAGACGAGUUUUCUCACUGGACCCCCCCCCACUGCAUUUACUACAAAUCUCUUUCAAUUUUUAUUCACUUUAUUCUUUAAAAAUGAAGACCAGCCUAGGAUGUAGAUAGGAUAUCGCCUCUGCUUAAAAUUUCUAGUGGCUCCUGUGGUCAUCAGUGUAAUACAAACAUGAAGCGUUUUCAAGCCUUCACAUCUGCUGCUCAUUCUUCAUAGAUACCCUUGCCUCCUACCCACUGUGGACUGUAGUUUGCCCUCAGAUUCUACCACCUCAGCAUACAAAGUCUUCCUUAACCAACCUUCAGAUAGUUUGGUGUGCCUGUUGUCUUAGGGUAUUUUUGUAAAUUGCAGAAAUAGUAUGAAAUGAAGUGAAACAAAGCUAGGUUUACUCUACAACUUCAUAAAUGAAGGAUUUAAUUUCAUCUGUAAAGUGAAAAUACCAUCUACCAUUUAGAAUUAUUUGUAACCAUCAGAGUAUAUGUAAUAUACCUACCAUAUAAGUGCCUACCAUAUAAUAAGUGCUAAACACGGACCUUUGUUGUUUUAUAAUAGUCUGUCUCCUCCAGUAGAUGGCAGAAAAGAUUAAUCUUGCAUCUCAGAGUGCCCAGCUCAUAGCAAGUGCCUUCUUCAUGUUUUAAAGAACAGAGUGAUGAAAGACAAAGGAAAAGGAAAUCACUUUCUGAAGGCACUCAAGAAAUAAAGAGAUACAAACUGGAGUUUCUUCAUCAUUCUAUUUAUUACAUGUAUGAAUAUUAACAUGUCAUGGCAUCCAUCUAAUUCAGUCAAAACCAACAAAGGAAAAAAGGUUAACCAUGUUUCAAAUUAACAUUCUUACAGAUUCCCCUGUAACUUAAAAUAGAAAUACGUUCAUCUGCAUUAAAUUGACAAAUCUGAAAAAUGUCAUUUAAAAAAAAAAUCACCUUUAGUACUUAAAUAUAUUUGUUAAUCUUUUGAGGGCAUCAGUGUCCAAGAAUAAAAGUUGCUUCAUUAGGUACUUUUCAAAAAUGGACAUCUGGAUGGUUCUCUCUAGCUGGAGAUACAUACAUAGAUAGAUAUGCAAAUAUGUCCUAUUUCGUUUAAAAAUUUUUUUUCAAAUCUGCCUUUUCAAUUUGAGAAAAGUCCUGCAGUGCUCGCGUCACAACCCCCUUUUGAAGAAUAAAAGUUAUUCAGACUUUGCUUUAAUCAUGGGAAGCUGCUGGAAAAACAUCUUAUGUUGAGGUUGCUGUUUAAUUCCAUUUUCGCCCAAUAAAAAGUACAGAAACACUGUCUUUAUUUGAUGGUGUGCAUAAAUAUUACACUCCAUGGAUAGCAAAAAUAUUUUUUUAUUUAUAAUUUACAGUUUCACAAGUGAAAAUCGUACAUUUUUACACAUACAAUUUCAUUUUGUUAAAUUUGCACACAUCUACAGAACUUUCACACAACAAGCACCUGAAACUGUGCAGGCAGUAGGAAAUGCAAAUACUAAAAUGUAUUUAUUAACCAAAUGAUAGCUGAAGGCCCUGCCCCAGCUAGACAAUUUAUAUAGAUAUGUCUAUAUAUACAUAAAAAUUUCUUCACCUUCUAGAUUUCAACAGCAGCUUUUUUUUUUUUAAAAAAGAAAAACAUACCUUUCUCAUUUUAUUUAAACUGACUCGACUGUAUCAUUUUCUGUUUUAAUUUCAGUGGCUGUUGCUAUGCUUUCCUCUGUGCAAGCUGGUGGAGUAUCAGUUCGUUCUUCCUUAACUUUGGGACUUUCACAGGGUUCCUGCAAUUCGUUUUUGACAAUGUUCAACAUAAUAUUCAAGGGAUUUUCAACUGGUGUCUUGCUGGGAGAUGGUGUACAAUCAAAUGAAGAUGUCUACAAAAUGAAAAACCCUUUAAGUACCGAUAAAUAUCACAUUAAAUGACAUUUAGUUUUAUAAGACCCUUUUAUGGGCAAUGAAACAUACAUAUACCAAAUGUAAUUUGAAAACCCUGCUGUCCUGCAAAACAUGCCAUAAAGGCAGCCAAUUAGAA